CCCAGUCCCUCCCAGUCCCUCCCAGUCCCUCCCAGUCCAUCCACACCUCUCAGGUUUUUCCCAUUUUUCUUUAUUUUCCCCCCCAAAUCCCCGGUCACUGCUGGCCACUGGCGGCCACUGUUUGGUCACUGAUGGUCACUGUUGGUCACUGCUGGUCACUCCUGGUCACUGUUGGUCACUCGUGGUCACUGUUGGUCACUGUUGGUCACUCGUGGUCACUCGUGGUCCCCCCCGGUCGCUCGUGGUCACCGCGGCGCUCAGUGCCCGAUGACGCGGCGGAUCCAGGCGCUGGCCCGGCAGACGUUGCUGUAGACGCCCGGCUGGCCUCGCUGACCACAGACGGCCAAACCCCAGGAGACCACGCCCUGCAGGUACCCCCCGCAGACCAGCGGGCCCCCGGAGUCACCCUGCACAGGUGAGACACACCUGGGUUACACCUGGGUUACACCUGGGUUACAC
rnacentral:lncRNA from 1 species